UACGAAGGGGGCUAGCGUUGCUCGGAAUCACUGGGCGUAAAGGGUGCGUAGGCGGGUUUUUAAGUCAGGGGUGAAAUCCUGGAGCUCAACUCCAGAACUGCCUUCGAUACUGGCGAUCUUGAGUCCGGAAGAGGUGAGUGGAACUCCUAGUGUAGAGGUGGAAUUCGUAGAUAUUAGGAAGAACACCAGUGGCGAAGGCGGCUCACUGGUCCGGUACUGACGCUGAGGUGCGAAAGCGUGGGGAGCAAACAGG
rnacentral:rRNA from 1 species